GACGAACGCUGGCGGCGUGCUUAACACAUGCAAGUCGAACGAUGAAGCCUAGCUUGCUAGGUGGAUUAGUGGCGAACGGGUGAGUAAUACGUGAGUAACCUACCUUUAACUCUGGGAUAAGCCUGGGAAACUGGGUCUAAUACCGGAUACGACCAAUCUCCGCAUGGGGUGUUGGUGGAAAGCGUUAUGUAGUGGUUAUAGAUGGGCUCACGGCCUAUCAGCUUGUUGGUGAGGUAACGGCUCACCAAGGCGACGACGGGUAGCCGGCCUGAGAGGGUGACCGGCCACACUGGGACUGAGACACGGCCCAGACUCCUACGGGAGGCAGCAGUGGGGAAUAUUGCACAAUGGGCGCAAGCCCGAUGCAGCGACGCCGCGUGAGGGAUGACGGCCUUCGGGUUGUAAACCUCUGUUAGCAGGGAAGAAGAGAGAUUGACGGUACCUGCAGAGAAAGCGCCGGCUAACUACGUGCCAGCAGCCGCGGUAAUACGUAGGGCGCGAGCGUUGUCCGGAAUUAUUGGGCGUAAAGAGCUUGUAGGCGGUUUGUCGCGUCUGCUGUGAAGGCCGGGGCUUAACUCCGUGUAUUGCAGUGGGUACGGGCAGACUAGAGUGCAGUAGGGGAGACUGGAAUUCCUGGUGUAGCGGUGGAAUGCGCAGAUAUCAGGAGGAACACCGAUGGCGAAGGCAGGUCUCUGGGCUGUAACUGACGCUGAGAAGCGAAAGCAUGGGGAGCGAACAGGAUUAGAUACCCUGGUAGUCCAUGCCGUAAACGUUGGGCACUAGGUGUGGGGGACAUUCCACGUUUUCCGCGCCGUAGCUAACGCAUUAAGUGCCCCGCCUGGGGAGUACGGCCGCAAGGCUAAAACUCAAAGAAAUUGACGGGGGCCCGCACAAGCGGCGGAGCAUGCGGAUUAAUUCGAUGCAACGCGAAGAACCUUACCAAGGCUUGACAUAUACUGGACCACAUCAGAGAUGGUGUUUCCCUUCGGGGCUGGUAUACAGGUGGUGCAUGGUUGUCGUCAGCUCGUGUCGUGAGAUGUUGGGUUAAGUCCCGCAACGAGCGCAACCCUCGUUCUAUGUUGCCAGCACGUUAUGGUGGGGACUCAUAGGAGACUGCCGGGGUCAACUCGGAGGAAGGUGGGGAUGACGUCAAAUCAUCAUGCCCCUUAUGUCUUGGGCUUCACGCAUGCUACAAUGGCCGGUACAGAGGGUUGCGAUACUGUGAGGUGGAGCUAAUCCCUAAAAGCCGGUCUCAGUUCGGAUUGGGGUCUGCAACUCGACCCCAUGAAGUCGGAGUCGCCAGUAAUCGCAGAUCAGCAACGCUGCGGUGAAUACGUUCCCGGGCCU
rnacentral:rRNA from 1 species